AACGUAGGACACAAGCGUUAUCCGGAGUUACUGGGCGUAAAGAGCGUGUAGGCGGCCAGGUAGGUCUGCUGUGAAAACUCGAGGCUCAACCUCGAGACGUCGGCGGAAACCAUCUGGCUAGAGUCCGGAAGAGGAGAGUGGAAUUCCUGGUGUAGCGGUGAAAUGCGCAGAUAUCAGGAAGAACACCCGUGGCGAAGGCGGCUCUCUGGGACGGUACUGACGCUGAGACGCGAGAGCGUGGGGAGCGAACAGG
rnacentral:rRNA from 1 species